rnacentral:lncRNA from 1 species
AAGCAAUCCACCUGCCUUGGCCUCCCAAAGUGCUGGGAUUACAGGCAUGAGCCACUGCGCCUGGCCUCAAACAUUCUCUUCUGAUACGCAACUGCAGACCUUAAGCCAUUUCAGCAGCUUAUAGAGUCUGCAAACAAGCUGUCUUUGUGUCCUGCACCUUUUGCUAUAAAGAACGAAAUUCCACCUCAUUUUAGUACUAGAACCCUAGCCCAAAGUGAAAGUGGGGUCUGCUUUACACUACGUGUGUGAAAGUGGGGCGUGCAUUACACUACGUGUGCCUGUGUGCAUACACUCCCCUCCCUUCAUAAAUAUGGAUAGCCUUUCCCGCAAACCUGCUGAAUAUGUAUGACUCUAUUGCGUCAUAUGGGCUCCAUGAGGCACAAAACCCAACCUGCCCUUUUCCUCUCCCAAGAGAGAGCACGUCCAGAACACGCCAGAGACUGUCUCUUCCUGGUUUGCAAACUCAUACCACUAGUAAAGCUCCUUUCUGCUAUUUAGCUAUCCUGGUGGUCUUUUGGGCAACAUGCUUAUCUGGGAAGAGCUGUCUUGUAAUCUCUGUGUCUGCAUCAGACUCUGCCAGCCCUAGAUUGGGAGCUCUGAGAUGACAUAGGCUGCGUCCCACCCCAGCAGCAGCAUGCAAGGUCAAAAGGCUGUGGCAGGAGGCCAGGCAGAUCACAGCGUCCAUGCCUAGAUGCUCCCUGACCCCCAGGAACCAGAAGUGCUGUCUCCUGAAGGCUCUGGAAACCCGGAAUCAGCCUACGAGGCACCAGGGCCACCUUGGAGGGUGGAAAUGAGGACCUCAGGCCCCAGAGGGCAUGCAGGCGAGGUGAAGUUCAGGAGAGCCAGGAAGUGUCCCCCUCUUCCCGGCCUGCUGUAUCCCAGGACACAGGGCGGGAAAGAACAUGGGCUGUGUGGCCUUGGACCAAUUGCUUGCCCUCUCUGGGCCUUCUUAUUGGUGACAGACAGACUGGUGACUUUCUGAGAGGAUCUAUGCAACCUCAGGCUCCUGCACCUGGGUUACAGGGUCUUCUGGAGGGGAAGAGAUGAGCAGCAAGGACAAUAGCAGUGCUCCCUUCCCGGGUCAGUUGCAAGGAUUAAGGAUGAUGUCUGCAAAGUGCUUAGUCAGAGCCGGCAUACGGUAAGUGCUCAAUAAAUGCUGGCUCCCAUUAUUAGUAUCCCUUCCCUCCACGCCCUCAACACAUCCCUUUAUCAUGAUGGAAUAACCAAUUGCCUGGUAACAACAUGUUCACACUUCCACGCUCCCCAUCAACCAUGCUCACCUAUAAGGCAGGCUGCGACCAGCUCCUCUUCAUCUAUUCAUUGCCUGGCCCAUGCUAGGGGCCCAAGAAAUGUCUGCUGCAUCAACGAGUGAUUUUGGGAAAGGUGCUGAGCCCUUCUGUCCCAUGAAGUUCUUGCGAGACAGUGUCUCACCAGCAACCUGGAUCGUGAGAACCACAGCGGGUGGGCCAGAUCUAGAUGGAGAGUGUCCAUUGGGCAGAGCUGCUUCUGUGAAAGGAAAGGAAGUUUUUCAAGAAACCAUGAGGGGGGCCCAAGAAUCCAAGUUUCUAACUCUGGGAUCGGUUUUCUGUCUUUUACCUCGGUUUGCCUCUCCCUAGCUGUGUGGUUUAUGGCAAGUCACUCUGUGCCUCUGUCUCCACGUGUUCAAGGAGGCAGCCGGUCCAAGGGGCCUUCAUAGAAGGGGCUGCCGAGAUGUGAGCCCUGCAUUGGGGGGAUGCCCCACAGAGGUGCUGUCCCCCAUCCCCUUUCCAGGGAACUCACAGCGAAAUCUACCAACCAAAGAGGAUGUCCAUACCUGUCUUUUUCUUUCUUCCUUCAUUUUUUGACUUAAUUUCCUCACUUGAAAAAAAAAAAUAAAACACCUUAUUCAGGGUAUACUUUAUGGGCAGUCUUAAUUUUUUUUAUUAGGAUGUGGGAUGUAAAUCCAUAAAAGAAGUAGAAGUGCUGAGCCUUCCUGUGGAGUGGGUGCUGGAGGGGAAAAGGUGGAGUUAGGGGAGGGAAGGGGAGGGCAGGAAGGUUGGUGAUGGGCAGAGAUUCACAGAGACUCCCAGGUCAGGGAGCAAUCCCCCAGUCAGGGCAGCAGGAAUGCCCAGAGGAAUUCUGAUCGGGACAGACGUCGGGCACUGAAUGAAGAGAGGUCCCUCAGGGGCCUGGUCUCAGGGGCCUUGAAUUCCACGCAAAGCGUGUCUUGAGCAUCAACUAUAUGCCAGGCACCUUUUACAUAUAUUAUUUCUUACUUCUAAAUUAUUCCAGAUUUUAAGCCGGGUGCAGUGGCUCACGCCUGUAAUCUCAGCAUUUUGGGAGGCCAAGGCAGAUGGAUAACCUGAGGUCAGGAGUUCGAGACCAGCCUGGCUAACACGGUGAAACCCCGUCUCUACUAAAAAUACAAAAAUUGCCUGGGUGUGGUGGUGCAUGCCUGUAAUCCUAGCUACAUGGAAGGCUGAGGCAGGAGGAUUGCUUGAACCUGAGUGGCAGAGGUUGCAAUGAGCUGAGAUUGUGCCACCGAGCUCCAGCCUGGACUACAAAGUGAGACUCCAUCUCAAAAUAAUAAAUAAAUAAAUAAAUAAAUCUAUCAAUCCAGAUUUUACCAAUUAGGAGACUGAGCCUCAGAGAAGUUAAAUCACUUGUCCAGAGCCCUGAAAUUGGAGAAGCAGCUGCGCUCAGACUGGAACCCUAGAUGGUAGGGCCCCUUAGUCCUCCUUUAUCUUGGGGGGAUCCAGGGAAGGCUUUUCAGCAGGGGAAUGAUGCAAUUGGAUACACAUGUCAGGGGGAACAUGACUGCUUGUGGCAAGGAACGCAGUAAGCCUGGG